CGCGAUGAUGAGUGAAUCCAAUGCUGACCGGAUGAUGAACCCCGAACCUGAGC
rfam:Thermococcus celer strain Vu 13, complete genome.